AGUGAACGCUGGCGGUAGGCCUAACACAUGCAAGUCGAACGGCAGCACAGGAGAGCUUGCUCUCUGGGUGGCGAGUGGCGGACGGGUGAGGAAUACAUCGGAAUCUACUCUGUCGUGGGGGAUAACGUAGGGAAACUUACGCUAAUACCGCAUACGACCUACGGGUGAAAGCAGGGGACCUUCGGGCCUUGCGCGAUUGAAUGAGCCGAUGUCGGAUUAGCUAGUUGGCGGGGUAAAGGCCCACAAAGGCGACGAUCCGUAGCUGGUCUGAGAGGAUGAUCAGCCACACUGGAACUGAGACACGGUCCAGACUCCUACGGGAGGCAGCAGUGGGGAAUAUUGGACAAUGGGCGCAAGCCUGAUUCAGCCAUACCGCGCGGGUGAAGAAGGCCUUCGGGUUGUAAAGCCCUUUUGUUGGGAAAGAAAUCCAGCUGGCUAAUACCCGGUUGGGAUGACGGUACCCAAAGAAUAAGCACCGGCUAACUUCGUGCCAGCCGCCGCAGUAA
rnacentral:rRNA from 1 species